GUGGGGAAUAUUGGGCAAUGGGGGAAACCCUGACCCAGCGACGCCGCGUGAGGGAAGAAGGCCUUAGGGUCGUAAACCUCUGUUGUGUGGGAAGAAGAGCGUGACGGUACCACACGAGGAAGUCCCGGCUAACUACGUGCCAGCAGCCGCGGUAAUACGUAGGGGACGAGCGUUGUCCGGAUUUACUGGGCGUAAAGGGCGCGUAGGCGGUCAUUUAAGUCAGCUGUGAAAUGGUUUGGCUUAACCGGAUCAUGCGGUUGAAACUGGAUGACUGGAGUGCUGGAGAGGCAAGUGGAAUUCCCAGUGGAGCGGUGAAAUGCGUAGAUAUUGGGAGGAACACCGGUGGCGAAGGCGACUUGCUGGCCAGUAACUGACGCUGAGGCGCGAAAGCCAGGGGAGCAAACGGGAUUAGAUACCCGAGUAGUCCA
rnacentral:rRNA from 1 species